GUUCGGUUUACAAGUUAUUGGUGCACGAAUGUAUAAGUAUGUAUAAUUCCAUCAGUAUAUAUAGCAACACACAGGAUCCAACGCGGCGAGAUCUCAUCGCUCCGGAUUAAAGUGUGCCGCUAGCUCAUGUUUUCACCAGUGCGGAGUUUCCACCGCGCCACACAAUCCCUUAUCAACUCAGAGAUCACCACUGAAGGUUUUGGUUAAAGGAUUUGAUGACUGCACAGAAAGCGGACGUAUGUAAAGACGUGUCGGGUCUCCUAAAUCAGGGAAUAACUCGGAACGUGUAGGGUCACCUAAACCUAAGGAGCUCUUAUGUCUAAGACAUAAGACGGGACGAGCAAACAAGACCGACAGCGGCACAACAACGAAAAUUCGGGCACGCAAUUCUGACUCCGCAUUGACAAACAAUGAUUAUUUGUCAGGACUAGCAGGAGUUGCUGACGGUUGUUAGAAGCAACAACGACGGUCGAAGCCUUAUGGAAUGGCCAGGAAUUCGCAGGGGGGGCAACACACAAAUCUUUUACAAUGUUAUUUGACUUUUAAUUAUUAGUUCAGCAUAAUUUUAAACAUAAUAUUAGGAAAGCACACAAGUACCAUCUGUUUGUACAUAUCCAUUAGAUGCGCACCGAAGAAUACUUAUUGUUUUAGUUAUAAAGAAAGAUUGAGUGAA